GAGACUGUGGCUUAGUGGUAGAGUGCUUGCCUAGGAUGCAUGAAGCCCUGGGUUCGAUUCCUCAGUAAACACA
rfam:Dipodomys ordii contig_39775, whole genome shotgun sequence.